rnacentral:lncRNA from 1 species
GAAAACAUUAUGAAUAAAAACAUAAGGAAGAGAAAAUAUAUUUACUAUUCAUUAAGCGGAAGUAGAUCAUCAUAAAGUUCUUUAUCCUCAUAGUCUUCAGAUGGACUAGGCUGAGGAGGAGAAGGAAGAGGGAAGGUUGGUCUUGCUGUCUCAGGAGUGGGAAAGAUGGAAAAACAUCUGUGUAUAAAUGGACCCCCUAAUUCAAACUUGUGUUGUUCAACAGUCAGUUGCAUAUAUUUGAAGUAUAUGAGGGAUUCCCCAAAUUAAUGAGCAAUUGGAGAACCAGGUUAGAACCAUGGCAAUUCAAGAGUAGACAGGAGACAAGGAUCACAACAUUCUCCUUUUAGCAGGAACAAUCAAUCACCCAGUUAUUUUGGGUGCAAAAUAAUACCACAGUCCUGUAUGCUGCUGAUGCCACUGCUCCUGGACACUGGGGAAACUACUGUGAGUGAGUUCAAAUGUUCUCACAGCUAUAGAUUCAAAAGUCCAGAGCAGGCACAUCCAACUAGCCAAGUUUUGAUUUCGUGGCUGCCAGAGGGAUGGUAAAGUCCAGUCUUUCAACUUUUUACAGUGGAAGGUAAAGGCACAAUCUCUCACUUACUCUACAUGCAAUGAGAGUUUCUCUAACACUGGAAAGAGAAAUACAAAUGACAAAGAAAUGACAAGGUCUUUGUCAGAGAAACAGAGCCAACAGGGUAGAUAGAUGACAGAUGAUAGAUAGAUAGAUAGAUAGAUAGAUAGAUAGAUAGAUAGAUAGAUAGAGAUUUAUUAUGAGAAAUUGGCUCGCGUGACUAUGGAGGCUAGGAAAUAAAGCAACCUUCUGUCUGCAAGCUAGAGGCCCAGGAAAGCUGAUGGUUUCAUUCCCGUUCAAGCCUGAGGCCUAAAAACCAGGAGAGCCAAUGAUGUAAGUCCUAGUCCAAAGGCUUGAGAACCAGGAACACCAAUGUCCAAGGGUAGAAGAUGGAUGUCCCUGCCCAAGCAGAGAGAGCAAAUUCACCCUUCUUCUUCCUUUAUUCUGCUCAGGCUCUUGACAGAUUGGCUGAUGCCCACCUGCACUGGUAAGAGUGAUCUUUACUCAGUCUAAUGAUUCUAAUGUUAAUCUCCUCCAGAGAUAUCCUCACAGGUAUAUAUGGAAAUAAUGUUUUACCAGCUAUCUGGACAUCCCUCAGCCCAGUCAAGUUGACAUGUAAAAUUAACCAUCAUCGUUCCCUCUACCAAUCAUGACUAUAUUGUGAUCCUUUUAGAAAAUUAUUAUCAUUGCCUUUUUUAACCUUUGCACUGUUUAUUCUCUAAACAGACACAGAGUUUGUUGCCAGCUAUCUCCCCAACCAAGUCUCUUCAGGCCAAGAACAGAGAAGAGAGAGAAGGGAAGCCCUCAUAAGUGCUAAUUGAUUUCUCCAGUGAAUAUCGGAAUGAUGGUGGCCAUGGAAUGCACAGAAAGAGACCUGGACAGAGAGGAGUCAAAAGACAGUUACCGGGUUAUAUUCUAAUUGGAGGCAGCAUUAUUUUAUCCAAUACAAGAUAGAGAUACUAAUAGAUCCAGAGCGUGAGAUGCUGAUAGGGGUGUCAUCUUCUACAACAAUUCAUCUUGUCAGUGAAAGGAAGAAUUAAGCAACCUGAACCAUUAAGAUACACAGUUAGACUUCAGCAUUAUCCAGCACAUCUCGACUACACUGGUGGAAGGAAUGUGUGUUUCUUGUGUAGAAGAGAGAGCUGGUGUGUGCAUGCAUGCAUGUAUGUGUGUGUGUGCGUGCAUGCGUGUGUGUGUGUGUGAAAGAGAGAGAAAGACAGAGAGACAGAGAGGGAGAGAGAGAAAAAUAGAUGGGGCAGGGCAUAUGAUCUCAAGUCGGCCUCAGUCUUCACCCUUCCCUCUUGCCUCGGAUCCAAUGCAUUCCAUUUGUGGUUACCUUCUUAGUCUCAACAUGGACUUGAGUUCCUGGGCUUUUAUCUAACCAGAGCCACCUAGACUAAUAGUCUGGUGACUCUUCAAUCCAAUACCCUUCAAGCAUUUGUCCCACAUACCAUUAGUGUUUUAGUCCAUUCUCACACUGCUAAUAAAGACAUACCCAAGACUGGGUAAUUUAUAAAGGAAAGAGACUUAAUUGAUUCAUUGUUCAACAUGGCUCUGGAGGCCUCAGGAAACUUACAAUCAUGGCGGAAGGGGCAGCUAAUUCUUCAUAUGGCGGCAGCAAGAAGUGCUGAGCAAAAAGGGGAAAAGCCCUUUAUAAAACCAUCAGAUCUGUGAAAACUUACUCACUAUCAUGAGAACAGCAGCAUGGGGGACACUCGCGACAUUUGCAAUUCUCUAUUCACUGGACAUCUUCAGAUUAUAAGUUGCUUGGGGACUUCUACUGAAUCUAACUGUAUCAAUCAAGAAUGCUUUUGACAGCAAGUAACAAAAUACUUUUAACUGAGCCUUAAAAAAUGAAGACUUGCCAUAUCUCACCUUAUAAAAAGCCUGGAUGAAUAAGUCUAGAUUCAACACAGAAGGCCAAGGAUUG